GCACUUGUAGCUGAGUUGGUGGAAAGCUUGGAUUGCCAUUACGGGGAUUGUGGGUUAAAAUCCCAUCAUAGGCG
rnacentral:tRNA from 1 species